UGCGUAUUGUUAUGCGUUUACUUUACUACAUUGGUUAGAGGUAUAGGGGGAGGGUUGAGAUCUCACAAACAUGCUUAACCCCGCCGCAUUUUUGCGCCUGUCCCAAGUCAGGAGCCUCUGGCCUUUGUUAGUCUUGUAUUAUUUUAAUUUUAGUUUCUUGUGUACAAUUUGGAAAUUAGUAUGGCGUUCAUUAUCACUGGACUAGUAUAUAUUUGUUUAGGGGCCAGCUGAAUGACGCCUCCGGGUGCGGGAAUUUCUCGCUACAUUGAAGACCUGUUGGUGACCCUCUGCUGUUGUUUUUUAUUUGGGCGGGUUGUUGUCUCUUUGACACAUUCCCCAUUUCCAUUUUCAAUUUUA
rnacentral:lncRNA from 1 species